AUGCCAGCAGCCACCGUGGAGGCCGGGACCACGCCCUGGUCCACGGGACUGUUCGACUGCGCCGAGGAUCAGGGCGUCUGCUUGAUGGGGUGGUGCUGCCCGUGCGUCGCGGUGGGGCGGAUAGCGGAGAUCCUGGACAAGGGGGCGACGUCGAGCGGCACCGGCGCGGCGCUCUACUUUGCGGUGGGGCUGCUGACGGGGUGGCAGUGCCAGUGGAUCUACUCCUGCGUAUACCGCACCAAGAUGCGCGCCCAGUACGGGCUCCAGGAGACGCCCUGUCCGGACUGCUGCGUCCACUUCUGCUGGCUCGAGUAUUGCGCCAUCUGCCAGGAGUACCGCGAGCUCCGCAACCGGGGCUUCGUCAUGGACAUCGGAUGGCACGCCAAUGUGGAGCUACAGAAGCAGCAGGGCCGCAGCGACGGCUCCAUCGUGCCGCCCGCCACGCAGCACAUGAUAUGA
rnacentral:rRNA from 1 species